rnacentral:rRNA from 1 species
UACGUAGGGUGCGAGCGUUGUCCGGAAUUAUUGGGCGUAAAGAGCUCGUAGGCGGUGUGUCGCGUCGGCCGUGAAAACCUGGGGCUCAACUCUGGGCGUGCGGUCGAUACGGGCAUCACUUGAGUUCGGCAGGGGAGACUGGAAUUCCUGGUGUAGCGGUGAAAUGCGCAGAUAUCAGGAGGAACACCGGUGGCGAAGGCGGGUCUCUGGGCCGGUACCGACGCUGAGGAGCGAAAGCGUGGGGAGCGAACAGG